UCCUUCCGGCGGGAAAGAGCUCCUUCCGGUUUCCGGGUGUGGGGAGGAAGUCCCUCCCCCCAUGCAACAGCGUAACAUAGCGGGACGCGCCCGCGGAGUUCUGGAACCAGGAAGUCCGAAAUGAAGGUGUCAGCAGGAUCAUGCUUCCUCUGAAACUCUGGCCCGAUCAACCAAAUGGACUGUAGUUGCUCUGCAUUGUUACCCAUGAGGUUCAACCAUCAGAACAUUUGGGGUUUGGUCCUGGCUGUGCCCUUCGAACCUUGAAAGAGACCCUUUAAAGUCAUUCUAAAAUGCUUGUCUGUACUUAUUCUUUGAGAGGAUCAAGAUGAAUGCAAAUGAUAUCAGAGAAAACCUCAGACCGUCAU